rnacentral:rRNA from 1 species
AACGAACGCUGGCGGCAUGCCUAACACAUGCAAGUCGAACGAGACCUUCGGGUCUAGUGGCGCACGGGUGCGUAACGCGUGGGAAUCUGCCCUUGGGUUCGGAAUAACAGUUGGAAACGACUGCUAAUACCGGAUGAUGACGUAAGUCCAAAGAUUUAUCGCCCAAGGAUGAGCCCGCGUAGGAUUAGCUAGUUGGUGAGGUAAAGGCUCACCAAGGCGACGAUCCUUAGCUGGUCUGAGAGGAUGAUCAGCCACACUGGGACUGCGACACGGCCCAGACUCGUACGGAAGGCAGCAGUAGGGAAUAUUGGACGAGGGGCGAAAGCCUGAUACAGCAAUGCCGCGUGAGUGAUGAAGGCCUUAGGGUUGUAAAGCUCUUUUACCCGGGAUGAUAAUGACAGUACCGGGAGAAUAAGCACCGGCUAACUCCGUG